AGGAAGUUUGGUAGUCCUCGGCGUCAGAGCGAACGACGUGCGGCAUGCGUUAACUACAUAGUCAAGUCGCACGAAGGUUUACGGCCGUUAGUGGCGGACGGGUGAGUAACGACGUAGGAAGUCUAUCCGAUGGUGGGGGAGUAACUACUGGGAAACUGGAGCUAAUACCGCAUGAUACCUGAGGGUCAAAGGCGCGAGUCGCCUGUGGAGGAGCCUGCGUUCGAUUAGCUUGUUGGUGGGGUAAUGGCCUACCAAGGCGAUGAUCGAUAGCUGGUCUGAGAGGAUGAUCAGCCACACUGGGACUGAGACACGGCCCAGACUCCUACGGAAGGCAGCAGUGGGGAAUAUUGGACAAUGGGGGCAACCCUGAUCCAGCAAUGCCGCGUGUGUGAAGAAGGUUUUCGGAUUGUAAAGCACUUUCGGCGGGGACGAUGAUGACGGUACCCGCAGAAGAAGCCCCGGCUAACUUCGUG
rnacentral:rRNA from 1 species